UGAUAACGAAAACAGUUUUUUUAAAAGGCGAGCAAUAUCAAACUAGCCGUGCUCUUCUCCUGCUCCAUCUCUCUUAGAAUCCAGAGUCUCCAGAGUCCCAGACCAUCCACUCCUGUCAACCUUUGCGACUCCGACUCCGUACUCGCUCUUCUCACUGCCGUCUCGACCACCACGACGGCACCAGCUGUCUCUCCUCUUGGACACAUCCCAGAGAACCUAGGUCCCAGAACCACGACGACACCACCCAUCUCUUCUCCCCGACGACAUCGGUGCCAUCGAGAACACUGCCAGCGGCCGAUGAGAUGAGGUUCUUCAAUUUCGAUAUAUUAUUACGGCCAAUGAGGCCAAUCGAUUCUUCAAUUUCGUCUAGAAGAAUUGUUCAGUUGUGAGCUGAGCUGCUGACGAUCAUCAAAAAUCACCAGCUUUUUGCAGCAACCGACAUUUUAUUUCUCUUUGCAGCAGUGAGAGCUCAUACGUAAUGGAGGACCUCAAAGAGAAGCUGCUUCCACCAAAAGUCCCAAAACCUGCAUCAGCUGUAAACCUUCGCGAAGCAUCGUAUCGAUCAUCGGCCUUUGGAAGGUAACCUUUUCAAGGAGUAGUUCUUCUGGGGCUGAAGAAUAUAUAAGAAUUCAUGUCUCUGUUGCUGCAGUGCUGCUGUGCAAUGCAGUUUAUAAAUUACCCAAAAAAAUAAAAAGAGUUGGACCCGCUCCAAAUUGGUCUAUUUGAAACUGGCCGGAUUAGAUCCGGUUCCAAAACUCAAAAUCCUUCUACCCGACCCAUCCCGUUCCGUUUAAAACAGGUAAGGUUUGGUCCCUUCGAAAUUAAGCCCGGCCCAGCCCGUGUCCACUCCUAAAUGAAAUGAUUAUUAUUUUUUCUUUCUUUAAAUAUAGCAAAGAAAAUCAAACCCUCACCUUAUUUUAUCAACAUUGGCUGCAAAUCACACAUUAACCAAAUCCUAAUAAAAUUAAUAUCAAUUAAUAUAGACCAUUUUCAUCGAUACAUUUACAACAGGCAAACACCUUCAAAACAAAUGGGUUAGCUACAAUUAGAUAUCAAAUUUAUCACAAAUAUAUAUCGUUCUCAUAUACGUUGAACCUGUGACAUCGUUUCAUCAGAUGAAGUCUGAAGACAACUAUCCUAUUAAACCAAAGGCUGGUUGAUUAAUUGUGUUAGACUUAAUCAAUUAUUUAAAAUAAACCCUGAGUUGUUGUUUGACUUAACUAUUCAUGACACCGUGAUGAAGUUCAUCAAAACUAUUUUAUACAUUAGCGUCAAAAGCAUAAAAAUACAAUCUGACUUCCUCACGUAUAGGUCCUGUUUCCUUAUUGUACAGAUUCUAGAUAUAUUAUUAGGAGUAGGAUACUCUCCAGAUCCUCUUUGUGUGGAUCUGAGAGAUUAAUCAAUCGUGUCCGUUCAUCGUACAUCAUGCGGAUAGAAAUUAUUUAAAAUUUAAAAUUGAAUAUAAAUAGUACUUAACGAAAACUGACCGCACAAUGUACGAUGAACGAACACGAUUGAUUGAUCAUCUGGAUCCCCACAAAGAGGAUCCUUGUCCAUAUUAUUAAGCCUCAAUACCGACGGCUGGAAAAAGUGCAAAUUAGACUAUCUCUAAAUCAGAUGUCAAAUUUUAAAUGAAGGGAAUUGUUAUUGACACUCCAAAUUUCUCAUUCUACACCCCAAACUUUCUAUAUUUAGAAAGAAAAAUACAGUGUAGAAUGAGAUUUUAGGAGUGCAAAUAACACUUCCCUAAAUGAAAUGUCAUUCAAUCAAAUUUGAGAUUGAGAUAUAAAAUUUAUGUUGCCAAAUUUGACAUAUGAGAAAAGAUGCUGUCAAUUUUUUUUAAUUAUUUAUUUUAAUGAUUUCUUUUUGAAAGUGGGUUUUACAAAUAUCAUUUAUAACAAAAAACCAUAUGGGUUGGAGAAGAAGAAAAUCUACAUUGUCACGUCAACCAUCUAAUUAAUAUUUGAUAUUUAUCUUUUAACACUUUCUAUUGAAGAUGCUCUUAUAUGGUUAAGGUAGAUUAUGUCAAUGCGCGUGUGGCUUCGACUCUGGAGGGUACCAACUACUAGGUGGAGGUUGCUACAUAUAAGUACUUUGUCAAUGGAAGAAAAUAAGAUUUGCUUGUAACGUUAUACAACAUUUACCAAUAUUUAAAGGUUUGAGAGUGUUAAUUUUUUAUUAGGAGUAAAAUAUUAAUUUUGUAAGAUCGUAUAAGGAAGCAAGUUAUUCUUCUAUGGUCAAUUAGUUUUAGGGUCAAUCUUUAAUUUCUUUCAUAAUAUUAGAGUCAAGUUAAUCCACACAUCAAUUAGUUUUAGGGUCAAUCUUUAAUUUCUUUCAUAAUUUUAGAGUCAAGUUAAUCCACACAGUAAGCAUAAUAGCUUACGUACUCACAUAUCACCCACUACGUGUUGUUCAUAUGUUAUACGUAAAUAAUGUCAUAGGU